CUUCUCCCCCACAGACAACAACAACAACAACAGCAACAACAGCCACAGAAUAACUGCACAUCAGGCAUAGAAAUGAUUUAUAUGGUUUAAGUUCGGGGUGGGGGUUUUUUAUUAUAAAAAAUACAGUAUUUUGGUUGGCCUGAAAAUGUACCUUAAAAUUAACAUUAGUGAAGAAGAAGAAGAAGAAGAAGAAGAGGAGUUUGGAUUUGAUAUCCUGCCUUUCACUCCCUUUAAGGAGUCUCAAAGUGGCUAACAAUCUCCUUUCCCUUCCUCCCCCACAACAAACACUCUGUGAGGUGAGUGAGGCUGAGAGACUUCAGAGAAGUGUGACUAGCCCAAGGUCACCCAGCAGCUGCAUGUGGUGGAGCGGAGACACGAACCCGGUUCCCCAGAUUUCGAGACUACCGCUCUUAACCACUACACCACACCUGAGGUGCAAGCCUAAUUACCACACUUGCUGCUUUAAUCUCGGUCCCUAGCAAUGCUUCAACACUGAUCUUGCCGUUUUCACAGUCACUAGGCUGCAUUUUCCACCCGGUCUCUUAUAUUGAUCUCAAGACAUUUCCUAAGAGGCUACAGUCCAUUCUGACCCCAAUGACGUAUGCAAGAAGCUUUAGAUGAAGUUACAUGCAAAGAUGAGUGAUGCUCUCUUCAACUGGCCAGAAACGUACAGUGGAACCUCGGGUUACAAACACCUCGGGUUACAGACUCUGCUAACCCAGAAGUAGUACCUCGGGUUAAGAACUUUACCUCAGGAUGAGAACAGAAAUAGCGUGUCGGCGGCCCGGCGGCAGUGGGAGACCCCAUUAGGUAAAGUGGUACCUCAGGUUAAGAAUGGAUUUAGGUUAAGAACGGACCUCCAGAACAAAUUAAGUUCGUAACCAGAGGUACCCCUGUAUUUGGCAGAUGGAAAUGUACAGAGUAAAAGAAAACCACAGAUUGCUGCACUUUCUCAUCCCAAGCUAUUAAUAUCAACAGGGGAUUUGUUGUCAAGUCUUGAUAGAAUCAGCAUUAUGCCAAUUGUGAAAAAACUGCAACAGUAUCUAAUGAACAGAUAUAAUUUUUUAAGCCUAUCGAAAGCCUGCCAUCCCCUCUGUGACUAGCAAUGAAGUGUUUAUGUGGAGGGAGAGGUGAGGGAAAUGAAGGUUUUGUUGAAAUCUCUCCUAGAUGAUUCAUUAUCAUCCAUGUUGUAAAGAACUUGCUGUUCCAGAAAGCAGGGAUUCUUGCAGAGUCACACAGCUGGAAGCUAGCAUCAUACUGACAAAAGCAGAUCAAGAGGAUAUUUACUGCUGAAUCCACUUCAAACUAGUGCUGCUCUAAAACCAAUUUCUCAAAAGUCCAUCCACUGUCACAACACCCCCCCCCCUUCACAAGUUGCUUUAGACACUGUUCAUCAUUUUUCAUUUCGGUGGGUGGAUGGGGUUGAGCCUACCAUCCUUAUUGUUGCUAGAAAACUAGCGGAGAUGUGUGCAUGCUUCUAUUUAGCAAUUCUGCAGCUUUUAUUCAGACCUUUGCUGUUUAAAACCACCAUUUUCUUCUGCAUCACCCCACGCCCACUUUACUCAAACUUCUGCCAUUGUUUAAAACAACUGUUUUCCUUUCAGUGUCGCUACCUUCUCGCUGUACUCAAACUUCUCCCAAUUCCAGCUGCCUUGUGUGAGAGAGAUAAAUGGUGGGCAGUCCUCAGUUAUUCCAGUGUAUGAAGGUAAAGGUAAAGGUAAAGGUAAAGGGACCCCUGACCAUUAGGUCCAGUCGUGACCGACUCUAGGGUUGCAGCGCUCAUCUUGCUUUAUUGGCCGAGGGAGCCGGCGUACAGCUUCCGGGUCAUGUGGCCAGCAUGACUAAGCCGCUUCUGGCAAACCAGAGCAGUGCACGGAAAUGCCGUUUACCUUCCUGCCAGAGCGGUACCGAUUUAUCUACUUGCACUUUGACAUGCUUUCGAACUGCUAGGUUGGCAGGAGCAGGGACCGAGCAAUGGGAGCUCACCCCAUCACGGGGAUUCGAACCGCCGACCUUCUGAUCGGCAAGUCCUAGGCUCUGAGGUUUAACCCACAGCGCCACCCGCGUCCCUAAGGUAAAGGUAAAGGGACCCCUGACCAUUAGGUCCAGUGGUGACCGACUCUAGGGUUGCGGUGCUCAUCUUGCUUUAUUGGCCAAGGGAGCCGGCGUACAGCUUCCGGGUCAUGUGGCCAGCAUGACUAAGCCGCUUCUGGCGAACCAGAGCAGCGCACGGAAACGCUAUUCCAUUGUAUGAAGGUACUUUACUCAAAACUCUGGUGCUGUUUAAAACAGCCAUUUUCCCAUCUCAAACUUCUUCCACUAUUUUAAACCACUGCUUUCCCCCUCUCAGUAUCCCUCCCUUCUUGCUCCUAUGCCAUACAGUCAUACCUCGAGUUGCGUUUGCUUUACGUUGUGUUUCUUCUGGCUACAAACGUGGCAAAUCCAGAAGUGUUUACUUCUGGGUUCGCAGCUUUGCACAUGUGCAGGAACAAUCUGCGUGCUUCACGCAUGUGCAGGAGAACUGUAUCGCGUCAUGCGCACACGCAGAAGCGGCGCUCUACUUACAGACUUUUUGGGGUGCAAACGGCACCCCAGAAUGGAUCGUGUCUGUAAGUAGAGGUACCACUGUAGCCUCUUUUGCAACCCACCUUCCCUUUUGCUCCCCUACCCCACCUUGACUUCAUGCAUUUAAUCUGGGAUAGUGAUGAGGGAUUACAAAUCCUCCAACGGGAGCUGCGCAAUGACAGGUUUACAUUUUUUUAAUGUAGACACAGGAAGAUAUAAUUAUAGCAAAACAUUUAAUAGCCCUAACGGUGCAAAACGUCCACAGCUUAGGGCAAUUUUCUAGGCUUGGGUUCCCAUCAUGAUGCUGGCUGCAAGGACCAAGAAGAAAUGUGGAAUCUGAAUGCGCAUUUACUGAAAUGGCCUGGAAGCGAAUUAGGUCUCUGGUAGUAAACAACCCUUGCUUCUGAUUUAAGGCGCUGUCCAAAUUAAAAUGACUCCUUAAUG
rnacentral:lncRNA from 1 species